GGAAGUAAAAGUCGUACAAGGUCUCCGUUGGUGAACCAGCGGAGGGAUCAUUACAGGACUCGCAAGACUCCUUCACCCUGUGAACCUCACUACAAGCACGUUGCUUCGGCGGGUGUCCCGGCGGGGGUUUUCCCUCGCCGGGGCGCACAGCCCGCCGGCAGCCUACUAUACUCUGUCUCUUUGCGUUGGCAUCUCGAGUACAAUCAAACAAGUUAAAACUUUCAACAACGGAUCUCUUGGUUCUG
rnacentral:misc_RNA from 1 species